ACGGAGGCAGCAGUGGGGAAUAUUGGGCAAUGGGCGCAAGCCUGACCCAGCAACGCCGUGUGAAGGAAGAAGGUCUUCGGAUUGUAAACUUUUGUCUUAUGGGACGAUAAUGACGGUACCAUAGGAGGAAGUCACGACUAACUACGUGCCAGCAGUCGCGGUAAUACGUAGGUGACAAGCGUUAUCCGGAAUUAUUGGGUGUAAAGGGUGCGUAGGCGGGCUGUAAAGUCAGAUGUGAAAUACCGGGGCUCAACCCCGGAGCUGCAUUUGAAACUUACGGUCUUGAGUGAAGUAGAGGUAAGCGGAAUUCCCAGUGUAGCGGUGAAAUGCGUAGAUAUUGGGAGGAACACCAGUGGCGAAGGCGGCUUACUGGGCUUUUACUGACGCUGAGGCACGAAAGUGUGGGGAGCAAACAGGAUUAGAUACCCUGGUA
rnacentral:rRNA from 1 species